GUUUAGAGAAAGUCUCUUCUAAAGGAAAGCCAGUCUAGGAAGAAGGUGUUGUCCAUGAUAAGCCUGUGUGGACUGCACAGGCUAAUCUGGAACAACUUUUCGCACAUGCAUUAAGCCCAGUUUUGCCAGAUGAAGGCUCUUAUUUUGCAGAAAUGGGAACUUUUUUAGCAUGAAGGUUACUGUGGUAUCAUUGUAAUUGGAAAGUCCCUGAUGAAGGUUACUGUGGUAUCAUUGUAAUUGGAAAGUCCCUGAUGAAGGUUACUGUGGUAUCAUUGUAAUUGGAAAGUCCCUGAUGAAGGUUACUGUGGUAUCAUUGUAAUUGGAAAGUCCCUGAUGAAGGUUACUGUGGUAUCAUUGUAAUUGGAAAGUCCCUGAUGAAGGUUACUGUGGUAUCAUUGUAAUUGGAAAGUCCCUGAUGAAGGUUACUGUGGUAUCAUUGUAAUUGGAAAGUCCCUGAUGAAGGUUACUGUGGUAUCAUUGUAAUUGGAAAGUCCCUGGUGCAAAUCCAACUGUUGUAGCAUCUUCACCUCUCCCACACAGACAGGACUUGUCACAUCCAGGAAAAGGACUUGAAAAAACAUUGACUUAUAAUGCAUUCAAGCAAAAAUUAUUAUUUUAUAUUCAUUCUCCCGCAAACUAAGUUUUGGGGAGUAUACAGGAAUCACUCUGCGGGUUGUUUAGUUGGUGGGUAGUUGGUUGGAUACUUAAGUUAUUGAACAUGUAUAAUUCUGUGUAUCAAAAUGAAACUUGAAGUAAGUAGUUUUAAUUCCAUAUGUUUAAAUUUAGAAGUGCAAGACUUUAUUUUCGUGUAUGUCACACAGUUUUAUUUAA